rnacentral:rRNA from 1 species
AUUGAACGCUGGCGGCAGGCCUAACACAUGCAAGUCGAACGAGUGGCGGACGGGUGAGUAAUGUCUGGGAAACUGCCUGAUGGAGGGGGAUAACUCCUGGAAACGGUAGCUAAUACCGCAUACCAUCGGAUGUGCCCAGAUGGGAUUGGCUAGUAGGUGGGGUAACGGCUCACCUAGGCGACGAUCCCUAGCUGGUCUGAGAGGAUGACCAGCAACACUGGAACUGAGACACGGUCCAGACUCCUACGGGAGGAAGCAGUGGGGAUGAUUGCACAAUGGGCGCAAGCCUGAUGCAGCCAUGCGGCGUGUAUGAAGAAGGCCUUCGGGUUGUAAAGUACUUUCAGCGGGGAGGCGUUACCCGCAGAGGAAGCACCGUCUAACUCCGUGCGAGCAGCCGCGGUAAUAC